GUGUAUAUGAGUUUAGGGCACUGGAAUUUACUGUAGUCAAAAUGAAUAUUUACACUCAUUCACAACGCUUCAUGUUGCACCACAUCAUUAAAUAGUAGUACAAUAUAAGCAUUUUAAUUUGACCUCAGGAAAUUUGGGCCUCGACAAUUAAUUAAUUGUUGAUGGAGUGACCAACACCUGGACUAUGACCAGGGGAAGUUGGCCUAAAAUCUUUCUCCUCAAAUUCUACUCGCCCUUUUCUUCCUUGGUGUGCAGCAUCAUCAGUGGUGGCCCUGCUUUCACGAUCACCAACACCAUGAGCCACAACAUUGCUGAAAUUUUCACCAUCUUUCGUGCACCGUUUGUUCAACCGAGGCCUCAAAUGCCUCUUCCCUUCAACAUAGAGAUCUUGGUGGUGUAAGAUAAAAAACAAGAGGAGAACGCAGACAAUUCGGAGGUAUAUGUUUUCCAUGAGCAAUAUAAAUGUGAUUAAUUCGAAAAGAGAAUGAUAUAAAUGAAUAUACAAGAGAAAUGGAUAAGGGCGUGCCUAGCUACCUCCAAUAUUAAUAGAGGGGAAGAGGAAGG
rnacentral:lncRNA from 1 species